CCUACGGGAGGCUGCAGUGAGGAAUAUUGGUCAAUGGACGAGAGUCUGAACCAGCCAAGUAGCGUGAAGGAUGACUGCCCUAUGGGUUGUAAACUUCUUUUAUCAAGGAAUAAAAUGAGGCACGUGUGCCUUUUUGCAUGUACUUUAUGAAUAAGGAUCGGCUAACUCCGUGCCAGCAGCCGCGGUAAUACGGAGGAUCCGAGUGUUAUCCGGAUUUAUUGGGUUUAAAGGGAGCGUAGGUGGGUUGUUAAGUCAGUUGUGAAAGUUUGCGGCUCAACCGUAAAAUUGCAGUUGAUACUGGCUGUCUUGAGUACAGGUGAGGUAGGCGGAAUGCGUGGUGUAGCGGUGAAAUGCUUAGAUAUCACGAAGAACUCCGAUUGCGAAGGCAGCAUACCAAAGCGUGACUGACGCUGAUGCUCGAAGGUGUGGGUAUCGAACAGGAUUAGAUACCCUUGUAGUC
rnacentral:rRNA from 1 species